GCCAGUUUGGGGGAAUGGUUUGAGUGUUAGACUAUGAAUCUGGAGACCAGGGUUCGAAUCCCUGGCUUGAGA